rnacentral:rRNA from 1 species
CACCGGAGAGGGAGCCUGAGAAACGGCUACCACAUCCAAGGAUGGCAGCAGGCGCGCAAAUUACCCAAUCCCGACACGGGGAGGUAGUGACAAUAAAUAACAAUACGGGGUUCUUUNNGAUCUCGUAAUUGGAAUGAGUACAAUUUAAAUCUCUUAACGAGGAACAAUUGGAGGGCAAGUCUGGUGCCAGCAGCCGCGGUAAUUCCAGCUCCAAUAGCGUAUAUUAAAGUUGUUGCAGUUAAAAAGCUCGUAGUUGAAUUUCGGGGUUAGUAGGUUGGUCAUGCCUCUGGUAUGUACUGGUCUCACUGAUUCCUCCUUCCUUAUGAACCGUAAUGCCAUUAAUUUGGUGUUGCGGGGAAUUUGGACUGUUACUUUGAAAAAAUUAGAGUGUUUAAAGCAAGCUAACGCUUGAAUACAUUAGCAUGGAAUAAUGAAAUAGGACGUUCGAUCUUAUUUUGUUGGUUUCUAGGAUUGACGUAAUGAUUAAUAGGGAUAGUUGGGGGCAUUAGUAUUCAAUUGUCAGAGGUGAAAUUCUUGGAUUUAUUGAAGACUAACUACUGCGAAAGCAUUUGCCAAGGAUGUUUUCAUUAAUCAAGAACGAAAGUUAGGGGAUCGAAGACGAUCAGAUACCGUCGUAGUCUUAACCAUAAACUAUGCCGACUAGGGAUCGGAUGAUGUUAAUUUUUUAAUGACUCAUUCGGCGCCUUACGGGAAACCA